UCGGAUUGUAGGCUGCAACUCGCCUACAUGAAGCUGGAAUUGCUAGUAAUCGCAGAUCAGAAUGCUGCGGUGAAUACGUUCCCGGGUCUUGUACACACCGCCCGUCACACCAUGGGAGUUGGAAAUGCCCGAAGCCAGUAGUCCAACCUCGUGAGGACGCUGCCGAAGGUAGGAUUGGCGACUGGGGUGAAGUCGUAACAAGGUAUC
rnacentral:rRNA from 1 species